rnacentral:rRNA from 1 species
GACGAACGCUGGCGGCGUGCCUAAUACAUGCAAGUCGAACGCAGAGGGGACGGGUGAGUAACAGGUGGGUAACCUCCAAUCAGAGGGGAUAAAAAUUGGAAACAGGUGCUAAACCGAUACUCAUGGACGGACCCGCGGUGCAUUAGCCAGUUGGUGAGGUAGCGGGUAACAGAGGCCACGAGGCAUAGGCGACCAGCGAGCGUGAUCGGCCACCCUGGGACUGUGACACGGCCCAGACGCCUACGCGAGGCAGCAGUAGGGAAUCUUCGGCUAUGGACGAAAGUCUGACCGCGCAACGCCGCGUGAGUGAAGAAGGUUUUCGGAUCGUAAAACUCUGUUGUUAGAGAAGCGGUAUCUAGCCAGAAAGCCACGGCUAACUACGUGCCAGCAGCCGCGGUAAUUC